UACGUAGGGACCAAGCGUUGGUCGGAUUUACUGGGCGUAAAGGGCGCGUAGGCGGCGCGGUAAGUCACUUGUGAAAUCUCUGAGCUUAACUCAGAACGGCCAAGUGAUACUGCAGUGCUAGAGUGUGGAAGGGGCAAUCGGAAUUCUUGGUGUAGCGGUGAAAUGCGUAGAUAUCAAGAGGAACACCUGAGGUGAAGACGGGUUGCUGGGCCAACACUGACGCUGAGGCGCGAAAGCCAGGGGAGCAAACGGG
rnacentral:rRNA from 1 species